UACGAAGGGUGCGAGCGUUACUCGGAAUUACUGGGCGUAAAGCGUGCGUAGGUGGUUUGUUAAGUCUGAUGUGAAAGCCCUGGGCUCAACCUGGGAACGGCAUUGGAAACUGGCUUACUAGAGUGCGGUAGAGGGGUGUGGAAUUCCCGGUGUAGCAGUGAAAUGCGUAGAUAUCGGGAGGAACAUCUGUGGCGAAGGCGACACCCUGGACCAGCACUGACACUGAGGCACGAAAGCGUGGGGAGCAAACAGG
rnacentral:rRNA from 1 species